UACUGGGCGUAAAGCGCGCGUAGGUGGCUUGAUAAGCCGGUUGUGAAAGCCCCGGGCUCAACCUGGGAACGGCAUCCGGGAACUGUCAAGCUAGAGUGCAGGAGAGGAAGGUAGAAUUCCCGGUGUAGCGGUGAAAUGCGUAGAGAUCGGGAGGAAUACCAGUGGCGAAGGCGGCCUUCUGGACUGACACUGACACUGAGGUGCGAAAGCGUGGGUAGCAAACAGGAUUAGAUACCCUGGUAGUCCACGCCGUAAACGAUGUCGACCAGCCGUUGGGUGCCUAGCGCACUUUGUGGCGAAGUUAACGCGAUAAGUCGACCGCCUGGGGAGUACGGCCGCAAGGUUAAAACUCAAAUGAAUUGACGGGGGCCCGCACAAGCGGUGGAGCAUGUGGUUUAAUUCGAUGCAACGCGAAGAACCUUACCUACUCUUGACAUCCUGCGAAUUUGGUAGAGAUACCUUAGUGCCUUCGGGAACGCAGAGACAGGUGCUGCAUGGCUGUCGUCAGCUCGUGUUGUGAAAUGUUGGGUUAAGUCCCGUAACGAGCGCAACCCUUGUCCUUAUUUGCCAGCGCGUAAUGGCGGGAACUCUAAGGAGACUGCCGGUGACAAACCGGAGGAAGGUGGGGACGACGUCAAGUCAUCAUGGCCCUUACGAGUAGGGCUACACACGUGCUACAAUGGUCGGUACAAAGGGUUGCCAACUCGCGAGAGUGAGCCAAUCCCGAAAAGCCGAUCUCAGUCCGGAUCGGAGUCUGCAACUCGACUCCGUGAAGUCGGAAUCGCUAGUAAUCGUGGAUCAGAAUGCCACGGUGAAUACGUUCCCGGGCCUUGUACACACCGCCCGUCACACCAUGG
rnacentral:rRNA from 1 species